AGAACGAACGCUGGCGGCAUGCCUAAUACAUGCAAGUCGAACGAAUGCCCUUUGGGGUGUUAGUGGCGCACGGGUGCGUAACGCGUGGGAAUCUGCCCUUGGGUUCGGAAUAACAGUUGGAAACGACUGCUAAUACCGGAUGAUGACGUAAGUCCAAAGAUUUAUCGCCCAGGGAUGAGCCCGCGUAGGAUUAGCUAGUGGUGGGUAAAGCCUACAAGGCGACGAUCCUUAGCUGGUCUGAGAGGAUGAUCAGCCACACUGGGACUGAGACACGGCCCAGACUCCGUACGGGAGGCAGCGAGUAGGGAAUACUUGGACAAUGGGCGAAAGCUGAUCAGCAAUGCGCGUGAGUGAUAGAAGGCCGUUAGGUUAGUAAAGCUUACGUUUACCGAGAUAGAUAAG
rnacentral:rRNA from 1 species